rnacentral:lncRNA from 1 species
UUUCCACUAAAUAGUUGUCGGAUCAAAUUUUUCCCUUGAUCGAUGCUAGAAACCUUGUUUGUUUUGUCCCCAAGGAUAUCAUGCAAGAGUUGCCUUUGCAGAUGUAGAAGACCGAAACUUGAACUUUCUGAUGCUUGUCGAAUAUCCGGGAGAAGGCAACAAUUUUCAAAAUUAGCGGAUAGUUCGUGGUAAAUAAGCUUGGCAAGAGUUGUUUUGCCUAUACCACCUAUUCCACAUAUUCCAACAAGCCUUACGUCCUUAGAUUCAACACUCAACAAAUCUGUUACUUCAUCCACUUCUUGGUCGAUCCCGACCAAAUUAUCAGACAGAUGUACCGAAGACACCUUAAGCUUAACCAAAACUUUAUGAGCUAUUAGCCGUGUGAGUUCUCCAUGGCUGUAUGUCAGUAGAAAGAGUAUAAUGAAGUUACCAUCUGAUUGAAAUUAAACAUGCAUAUACAAGAUGAUUCAGUAAUAUGACUUAGCUACAAAAUGCUGGACAUAUGAGAGAAAAAUAUGCAUGACUCUCCGAAUUGAUUCAAUCAUAGCAAUAGCAUACAAUGGAUGUUUAAUGAAGGUGAUGACCAAGAUCAUGGAGUGCAAGAUGAUUCCCCCCAAUAAUUAUCACAGAGUCUAUUAGAAGUGAGCAUGGUUCAACUGCUCCAAUUCAAAACUUGAAGCCAGUAACUGAACCAGGGAACCGUUCCCGGUUCUUUGGAAUUGGAAACUGAGCUAGUCCACCCUACAACUGGUUUGAAACCAAACCAGACCCCUAUUUUUUGUUUUGUAUUUUUUUCAACUCCUUAUUUAAAUAAACUUGUAAUUUAAAAUUUGUUUGUGAGGAUCUUCCAAGAAGCCACCAAGUCGGUUUGAUUCUUGAGCACCAUAUAGAUGGGAAAGAAAAACUUGGGGAGGCCGAGCCUGAAACCCCAUCCAAAUCGUUCUGUCUAUGUUAUGAAGCCUCAUGUUCGGACUAGUCGAAACACAUUACUUCAAUGGGUCUAUUUAAGCUUCGGUUCAAAUCUGAAAAACAAAAACCAACCAGUAGUGUAAAUUGAAACAAAUAAGAAUUAAAUCAGAUCUGAAAGUGGAAAAGGAAACGGGUUUGAGGAAAGAGCAAAUAUUUGUAGAUUUUUUAUUUUAUUUUAAAAAAGCCAUAUUGACCUUAAAAAAAGAAAGAAGAGGAGGAAGUAUAUCUUCGAGGGCACCAAAAUAGAUGAAAAAGUUUACAAUAUGCAAGUGUAGUUCUCGAUGCGCAUCUGCCAACCGCAGAGAGAGACAUUGGGAAAAAAUACAUCGUACUAAUAUGAGGUCGCCUUGCCAUGAUGAUCCAUCACAUGAUUUUCCACCAUCAUGUUGCAGGUGAGAUCGGCAGUGUCCAAUGCCAUCCGAGCAAGCUAACAACCGCCAUAAUUUGACUCUCUCCCUGUUUGUUGAUUAGAAGUGCAGAAGCUGCUUGCUUCAUUCUAUCCUUCCUAUGUUUUUUUUUUUUUUUUCGUUGUAGAUAUUAGUCUGUUACAGUGUGUCAAAAUGAACAGUUCAAACAAAUCUGGCGCAAAAGGAAAAGAGAGAGGGGGGGAAAAAAAGAAGACGGAAACUGAUAGUGAACCGAAACCCCACUUGAGCCGAACCAUAAAUUUCAAGUUGGAUCGUAAAGGCUCAGGUCACAGAUUCAAACUAAAUGGUUGGCUCUUGGAUUUUGAACUUGUGAACCUAGCCAGUUCUUAUGGGAAUCAGGUUUGAACUAGACCAGCAAGUUUAGUCCCGGCCCCUCCCCAACUUGAAUUUGGACCGUUAAUCACCCCUAAUUUAUGGCCUUACUGAAGCCAAACCUUAAAUCAGGGCCUAAACAUUAAAAAAGUAAACGGCCUAAAUUAUGCCAUAACAAUACACUCAAAUCAUAAGUCCACUCGAUAGAAUGCCUAAAUAAACUCAUCGAUCAUAAAAGUCACAAAAAUAUAUUUCUCAUGAAAUUCAUAGAUAGAAUGUCUAAAAGGCUCAUUGAUGGACGGAGGUUAAGUGCAAAUUAUGACACGUGGCAACAAUCGUUUAGUCAAAACAAGAAAGGAAGUUGAAGGUAAGUCUAGAAAGCUCCAUCAACGGAGAAACAACUAUAAUUAAAAAGAUUGUUAGAAGUCAUUCCAAAAUUAGCGCGCAAGUCAAGAAACGGCUAGAAAUUUUUGUGGAAAAAUAUAAGGAUGUAGAAUGGAAUCGUCCAUAGAAAAUAGGGGAACGAUUAAAGACAUAAAAACUCUCGGCAUCAUCUACAACACAUAGACAUAUCUCUGAGGACAAUUCAAACACUUUGAACAUAAAUCAUACAGCAUUGAUCAAGGAGUCCUGGUUUUGAAAAAAAAAUGUAUCAGAUUAGAUCUUUCAUUAGGUUUUGAAUUUCAAAUUCGAAUUAGGUAGACUUUCUAAGUUUAGUGUUUUUCUUUGAGUAUAAAGGCUUUCUAGUCUAUUUGUGAGCCUUUUUCUCCCAUUACAUUCCAUUGAGAACUUUGUGUUCAAAUUAUAUCAUCGAGCAAGCAUGACAUUGAAGAAUGUAAGCAACCUACUCUAAUUCAAUAAAAGCAUUUAUUUAAUAAGACUGUGAUAAAGUCCUUGAGAUUUCAAGACAUGUUUUUGAUUGAUUUAAAGUCGGAUUUGAUAAGUAAAGAGACCAUGAAUCAAUCUGAUUGGGUUAUAAUCAAACCACUGAGUCCUUAGCGACUAUAACUUGACAAAACACGCUUAACAAGCCUAGAGCAACAUAAUAAUUUGGCUCUUCCGAAGAUAAUCAGUAUUCAAGCAAAAGAAGCAGAGAGAAAAUGGAAGAUGGGGUAGAAUUAGUUAACAUACCCUAUGUUCUCGGUGUCCCAUCCCUUGAUUCUAGCAACCUCCUUGAGAGCCUCUGCCCAGCGUUGCACAAUCUCAACCCCACGCGUUUUUUCAUGCAGCGUUAAUGCAU